CAGCCGCCGCGGUAAUACGAAGGGGGCUAGCGUUGCUCGGGAUGACUGGGCGUAAAGGGCGCGUAGGCGGCGGCCAAAGUCAGGCGUGAAAUUCCCGGGCUCAACCUGGGGGCUGCGUUUGAUACUUGGUUGCUUGAGUGGGGAAGAGGGUCGUGGAAUACCCAGUGUAGAGGUGAAAUUCGUAGAUAUUGGGAAGAACACCGGUGGCGAAGGCGGCGACCUGGUCCUUUACUGACGCUGAGGCGCGAAAGCGUGGGGAGCAAACAGGAUUAGAUACCCCCGUAGUCCCUGUCUCUUAUAC
rnacentral:rRNA from 1 species